UACGAAGGGGGCUAGCGUUGCUCGGAAUCACUGGGCGUAAAGCGCACGUAGGCGGACUCUUAAGUCGGUGGUGAAAUCCUGGAGCUCAACUCCAGAACUGCCUUCGAUACUGGGAGUCUCGAGUCCGGGAGAGGUGAGUGGAACUGCGAGUGUAGGGGUGAAAUUCGUAGAUAUUCGCAAGAACACCAGUGGCGAAGGCGGCUCACUGGCCCGGUACUGACGCUGAGGUGCGAAAGCGUGGGGAGCAAACAGG
rnacentral:rRNA from 1 species